CCUACGGGUGGCAGCAGUGAGGAAUAUUGGUCAAUGGGCGCGAGCCUGAACCAGCCAAGUCGCGUGAGGGAAGACGGUCCUAUGGAUUGUAAACCUCUUUUGUCGGGGAGCAAAAGACGCCACGCGUGCUGUUUCGUGAGUACCCGAAGAAAAAGCAUCGGCUAACUCCGUGCCAGCAGCCGCGGUAAUACGGAGGAUGCGAGCGUUAUCCGGAUUUAUUGGGUUUAAAGGGUGCGCAGGCGGAAGAUCAAGUCAGCGGUAAAAUUGUGAGGCUCAACCUCUUCGAGCCGUUGAAACUGGUGUUCUUGAGUGAGCGAGAGGUAUGCGGAAUGCGUGGUGUAGCGGUGAAAUGCAUAGAUAUCACGCAGAACUCCGAUUGCGAAGGCAGCAUACCGGCGCUCAACUGACGCUCAUGCACGAAAGUGUGGGUAUCGAACAGGAUUAGAUACCCCGGUAGUC
rnacentral:rRNA from 1 species